UACGUAGGCAGCAAGCGUUGUUCGGAGUUACUGGGCGUAAAGAGUGUGUAGGCGGUGCUCUAAGUUCGGUGUGAAAUCUCCCGGCUUAACUGGGAGGGUGCGCCGGAAACUGGAGUGCUCGAGCGUGGGAGAGGAAAGCGGAAUUCCUGGUGUAGCAGUGAAAUGCGUAGAUAUCAGGAGGAACACCUGCGGCGUAGACGGCUUUCUGGACCAUUGCUGACGCUGAGACACGAAAGCGUGGGUAGCAAACAGG
rnacentral:rRNA from 1 species